rnacentral:rRNA from 1 species
CCAAGGCCCCAGAGGAAGCCACGGCUAACUCUGUGCCAGCAGCCGCGGUAAUACAGAGGCGGCAAGCGUUGUUCGGAAUUAUUGGGCGUAAAGAGCACGUAGGCGGCCUUGCAAGUCAGUUGUGAAAGCCUUCCGCUUAACGGAAGAAUGCCAGCUGAUACUACAGGGCUUGAGUACGGGAGGGGAGAGUGGAACUUCUGGUGGAGCGGUGAAAUGCGUAGAUAUCAGAAGGAACGCCGGCGGCGAAAGCGACUCUCUGGCCCGAAACUGACGCUGAGUGUGCGAAAGCUAGGGGAGCAAACGGGAUUAGAUACCCCGGUAGUCCUAGCCGUAAA